CGCAAAAACUUUAGUAUUUCUCUUCAAAAAAUUCUAAAAUCUUUCAUCACUGCGCCCUUCCAAUUGUCCACCAAAAUCCAUUUUCAAUCUAAAUCCUCCUUGCACAAGCUCUCAACAAACUCUACUCACACAACAAUCUUCGUGUAACGCUCCUUGCGCAAACUCUUUCAUUCUCACGCAAAACAAUCUUCACUGUCUUCUCUCUCAAGAACCCACUUGACAUCGCUCGACCUGAAUGAAAAAGGGGAAAAACAUGAUUAGGGUUUCUGUGUCGAGUACAGUUUUCUCGUGAUUUUCCCCCUUUUCUCGCAACUCUACAUCGAUUAGGGUUUUGGCAUCUUGCGAGACUUGCAAAAGUUUUACCUCUUCGUGACUUGGUGAGCUUGGAGCGAUUCGUAAAAAGAAGACAACAUCUUGUGGAUCCCAAUUCUUCCACCUUGAAGGUAUGUUUGGUGUAGAUUUUUUUGUUUAGCAUUAGGAAUUGACUUGGUUGUCUUUUUUAUUAUUACUUGGUACUGCAUUCCUCUGUUAACUUAAGCAGUUAAGCUUUGUAACUUAUUUUUCUGCAACUAUAAUGGUGCAAGUUUUUGAAAUACUCUCAGGCUACUUACAUUCUCGUUCAUGUAAUAUUAACUGUUUAUGAAAUAUAAUAAUUUAUGAUAUUAUUUUUUUCACUCCUUGGUUCCCCACGGAUUGAAAACCGUUUUCCUUUUGAAUUUUUCAUCUGUUUGUUAAUUAUUAGUUGUCUAGGUCCUAUAUUACAUGAAACUAUUCUCUUUUUUAUUUAUUUAUAUUAUAUAGAGGGGUGGUUGUUGUUUUCUUAGGAUGAAAAGACUGGGAUUUGAAUUUGUUUAAAUAAAUAUUUGAUAAGGGUUAGAAACCGAGUAUUAAGUCUAAGAUGUUGUGUUAAGGGAAAAUGACAGGGAUACCCUAUUUUGACUUUCAUCAUUGUGCUGCUGUUUGUGCCUUUGUCGUCACAAAUUUGGAAAAAAGGUGAAGGGGAAGCCUGCAAAACUGUCAACAAUGCUUAUGUCUAAUUAAGCUUAUGUCUAAUUUGUUUUUUAUUCUUGUAAGAUUGAUUUUUGAUCAUACUGAAAUUUUGUUUCAUUAAUGGAAGAUGAAUGCAAUGUCCAUUUUGUGAUUUUUCAAAUACUUGUUACAAUGAGAGAUCUGAUGCUUACAUGCAUCAGUAACAGAAAACAAUGUGGAUGUAUACUUUGAAACUAAACAAUACAAAAAGGAACUCAAAGCAGCCGAUGCCAUUUUGAAAAAAAUUCCAGAUCAUGGAGAACCUUUAUCAAUGAAGGGCUUGACAUUAAAUUGCAUGGAUCGUAAAUCUAAAGCAUAUGAAGUGGUUUGCCAAGGAUUGAAGAGCAUCAAAAGCUAUUGAAAUUCUGGAAGCAUAUGAAGGGGCAUUAAAAGAUUAUCCUCCAGAAAGUGAACGGAUUGAGCAUGGGGAAAUGCUUUUAUAUAUAAGGUUGUUGCAUGGAGUUUUGUUCCUGGUAAGCAACUGGAGCAAAAGAAAAGAAAGAAGAUUGUCAAUCCUACUACACCUGUUGUAUUGUUUACCCGUUUUUGAAAUAUUUUAGUUUAUAUGAUCAUGUACAAUGUGUGUAUAUAUUAUACUCAUAUUUUCUAUAAAGUAAAGCCUUUGGUUUAUACAUUAUAAUUAAAA